rnacentral:tRNA from 1 species
UCCGGUAUAGUACAUCGGCUAGUAUAUCCGCCUUUCAUGAUUGAUGUCGCGGGAGAGCGGGGUUCGAUUCCCCGUACCGGAA